GAUGAACGCUGGCGGCGUGCCUAAUACAUGCAAGUCGAGCGAACAGACGAGGAGCUUGCUCCUCUGACGUUAGCGGCGGACGGGUGAGUAACACGUGGAUAAUCUACCUAUAAGACUGGGAUAACUUCGGGACACCGGAGCUAAUACCGGAUAAUAUAUUGAACCGUAUGGUUCAAUAGUGAAAGACGGUUUUGCUGUCUCUUAUAGAUGGAUCCGCGCCGCUUUAGCUAGUUGGUAAGGUAACGGCUUACCAAGGCAACGAUGCGUAGCCGACCUGAGAGAGUGAUCGGCCACACUGGAACUGAGACACGGUCCAGACUCCUACGGGAGGCAGCAGUAGGGAAUCUUCCGCAAUAGGCGAAAGCCUUACGGAGCAACGCCGCGUGAGUGAUGAAGGUCUUCGGAUCGUAAAACUCUGUUAUUAGGGAAGAACAAAUGUGUAAGUAACUAUGCACGUCUUGACGGUACCUAAUCAGAAAGCCACGGCUAACUACGUG
rnacentral:rRNA from 1 species